rnacentral:rRNA from 1 species
CAUGAAGCUGGAAUCGCUAGUAAUCGCGAAUCAGAAUGUCGCGGUGAAUACGUUCCCGGGUCUUGUACACACCGCCCGUCACACCAUGGGAGUCGGAAGUGCCCGAAGUCAGUGACCUAACCGAAAGGGAGGAGCUGCCGAAGGUGGAGCCGGUAACUGGGGUGAAGUCGUAACAAGGUAAC